rnacentral:rRNA from 1 species
GCUAUACAUGCAGUCGAGCGAACGGACGAGAAGCUUGCUUCUCUGAUGUUAGCGGCGGACGGGUGAGUAACACGUGGAUAACCUACCUAUAAGACUGGGAUAACUUCGGGAAACCGGAGCUAAUACCGGAUAAUAUUUUGAACCGCAUGGUUCAAAAGUGAAAGACGGUCUUGCUGUCACUUAUAGAUGGAUCCGCGCUGCAUUAGCUAGUUGGUAAGGUAACGGCUUACCAAGGCAACGAUGCAUAGCCGACCUGAGAGGGUGAUCGGCCACACUGGAACUGAGACACGGUCCAGACUCCUACGGGAGGCAGCAGUAGGGAAUCUUCCGCAAUGGGCGAAAGCCUGACGGAGCAACGCCGCGUGAGUGAUGAAGGUCUUCGGAUCGUAAAACUCUGUUAUUAGGGAAGAACAUAUGUGUAAGUAACUGUGCACAUCUUGACGGUACCUAAUCAGAAAGCCACGGCUAACUACGUGCCAGCAGCCGCGGUAAUACGUAGGUGGCAAGCGUUAUCCGGAAUUAUUGGGCGUAAAGCGCGCGUAGGCGGUUUUUUAAGUCUGAUGUGAAAGCCCACGGCUCAACCGUGGAGGGUCAUUGGAAACUGGAAAACUUGAGUGCAGAAGAGGAAAGUGGAAUUCCAUGUGUAGCGGUGAAAUGCGCAGAGAUAUGGAGGAACACCAGUGGCGAAGGCGACUUUCUGGUCUGUAACUGACGCUGAUGUGCGAAAGCGUGGGGAUCAAACAGGAUUAGAUACCCUGGUAGUCCACGCCGUAAACGAUGAGUGCUAAGUGUUAGGGGGUUUCCGCCCCUUAGUGCUGCAGCUAACGCAUUAAGCACUCCGCCUGGGGAGUACGACCGCAAGGUUGAAACUCAAAGGAAUUGACGGGGACCCGCACAAGCGGUGGAGCAUGUGGUUUAAUUCGAAGCAACGCGAAGAACCUUACCAAAUCUUGACAUCCUUUGACAACUCUAGAGAUAGAGCUUUCCCCUUCGGGGGACAAAGUGACAGGUGGUGCAUGGUUGUCGUCAGCUCGUGUCGUGAGAUGUUGGGUUAAGUCCCGCAACGAGCGCAACCCUUAAGCUUAGUUGCCAUCAUUAAGUUGGGCACUCUAAGUUGACUGCCGGUGACAAACCGGAGGAAGGUGGGGAUGACGUCAAAUCAUCAUGCCCCUUAUGAUUUGGGCUACACACGUGCUACAAUGGACAAUACAAAGGGCAGCGAAACCGCGAGGUCAAGCAAAUCCCAUAAAGUUGUUCUCAGUUCGGAUUGUAGUCUGCAACUCGACUACAUGAAGCUGGAAUCGCUAGUAAUCGUAGAUCAGCAUGCUACGGUGAAUACGUUCCCGGGUCUUGUACACACCGCCCGUCACACCACGAGAGUUUGUAACACCCGAAGCCGGUGGAGUAACCUUUUAGGAGCUAGCCGUCGAAG